UUUUAUUUUUAUAUUAUUUAUUUAUUCUUCCUUAGUUUCUUGAGAUUAUCAUCCGCUGAGGGUGGAAGGGGAGUGAGCAGACACACUCAGGAGGUGUCUUGAGAUUAUCAUCCGCUGAGGGUGGAAGGGGAUAGAGCAGGCACUCGGCAGGUGUCUUGAGAUUAUCAUCCGCUGAGGGUAGAGCUGAGGGUGGAAGGGGAGUGAGCAGACACUCGGGAGGUGUCUUGAGAUUAUCAUCCGCUGAGGGUGGAAGGGGAUAGAGCACACACUCGGAAGGUGUCUUGAGAUUAUCAUCCGCUGAGGGUGGAAGGGGAUAGAGCACACACUCGGAAGGUGUCUUGAGG
rnacentral:lncRNA from 1 species